AUUGAACGCUGGCGGCAGGCCUAACACAUGCAAGUCGAGCGGAUGAGGGUAGCUUGCUACCUGAUUCAGCGGCGGACGGGUGUGUAAUGCCUAGGAAUCUGCCUGGUAGUGGGGGACAACGUUUCGAAAGGAACGCUAAUACCGCAUACGUCCUACGGGAGAAAGUGGGGGAUCUUCGGACCUCACGCUAUCAGAUGAGCCUAGGUCGGAUUAGCUAGUUGGUGGGGUAAAGGCUCACCAAGGCGACGAUCCGUAACUGGUCUGAGAGGAUGAUCAGUCACACUGGAACUGAGACACGGUCCAGACUCCUACGGGAGGCAGCAGUGGGGAAUAUUGGACAAUGGGCGCAAGCCUGAUCCAGCCAUGCCGCGUGUGUGAAGAAGGUCUUCGGAUUGUAAAGCACUUUAAGUUGGGAGGAAGGGCAGUAAGUUAAUACCUUGCUGUUUUGACGUUACCGACAGAAUAAGCACCGGCUAACUCUGUGCCAGC
rnacentral:rRNA from 1 species